rnacentral:lncRNA from 1 species
UUCGACGCUGUGGAAACACUGGCCUGGCCGGUAGCACAUGGCUCCACCGCCUAGUCACUUGCUCGAAACGGCUUCUAUGCCACAUAAGCAAUAGCCUAUCCGACAAUGCAGGGCUCCUCUGUCUGGUUGCUUGCCCGACGGUAGGCUCCGCACCGUGGGGCUUCCCCGGUCGAUCGGCUGCUCGAUGGCCAAGUCCCUGACCGUGGAACUUCUCCACCCACUUGACCGCUCGGUGAUGAGGACCAUGGCGGUGGCGGAGGUCCAACGCGGGCUGGGCGCGCAACGGUUCCUUCCUCCGGCAUCAACGUCUCAACGGCAAACUCCGUGAGGGAGGCGCAGGGAAAGCGCACACCCGCGUGUGGCGGCUCCUCCCUCUAGCUCGACGACGGGCUGGCAGAGCUCUCGUCGCUGGAACUGCAGUACAUGAUCGAGGGAAUCAAGCAUGUCGAGCUCACCAACCGCCUGUCCCUCUCGCGAGUGCAUCCUCCAAUCGUGCAACGUGGGUGGGCCACCUCCCCGUUGAUUUAGUGCAUGCAGGAGAGAAACGGAAG